CAGCCGCCGCGGGAAUACGAAGGGGGCUAGCGUUGUUCGGAAUUACUGGGCGUAAAGGGCGCGUAGGCGGCCAUUCAAGUUAGAUGUGAAAGCCCUGGGCUCAACCUAGGAAUUGCAUUUGAUACUGUUUGGCUUGAGUUCGGGAGGGGUGAGUGGAAUUCCCAGUGUAGAGGUGAAAUUCGUAGAUAUUGGGAAGAACACCAGUGGCGAAGGCGGCUCACUGGACCGACACUGACGCUGAGGCGCGAAAGCGUGGGAAGCAAACAGGAUUAGAUACCCCAGUAGUCCCUGUCUCUUAUAA
rnacentral:rRNA from 1 species